UGUUACUACUAAAUGUGCAUAAAUUGUGUUGUAAACUGUGUCUCAGGGCAGUAUUAGCGCUUCAAAGGACCUGCAGAAGGAGUUUGCCAACAUCGAAAAGAAGAAAGAACAACUUGCUGAUUAUCUGUGUGAAGACCGAAAAAAACUAUCCUUGGAAGAUCUAUUUAUCACAAUGAAAACCUUCAGGGAGCUCUUCCUCAAGGCCUUACAGGAAAAUCAAGAAAGAAAAGAGCAAGCUGCAAAGUCUGAGAAAAGGAAGAAACAACUUAAAGGUGAAGAAGCAAAGAGACCAAAGGGAGAGUAUGGAAAUAUCAGUACAUCUAACAAAAACUAAUCCUGGAUUUAUUGACCUGUCUUUUGCUAAUCAGGAGGAAUUUAUCUGUUUAGCUAUGGAUGAUGUAACACAAUGACAGUGAUUUAGCAAUGGUUGGCGUAGCUGUCAAGCUGACAGUGAAAAAUACUGUAAGAUAGGAUAGUAGGUCAUCAAUUUUCAAGUUCAUGUGAAUGUUCAGAAGAGAUCAUGAUAGAGAUGUUAGAAAAAAUAUCACUUCCAAAGAGCAAGUUACUAGCAUUUUGCUAAGAGGUGGAUUGCUCCGAAUAGUUGUUUGCAGGCUUCUAGGUACGUAGAAAGGUUCCAUGGUUCUGAACUUUAAGCUGCCUUGUGGCACUGUGGGAGGCAAGUUGAGUCACGUGUUACUGUUACCACAGUUUUUUGCUCUUCUCUGAUUAGAGUUCUGAUUCCUUAAAGCGGUUUUGUGUGUGCUUAACUGAGAGUCUGCGCUUUGCUGAAGAAUGGCAGACUGACAUAAAAGUUUUUACCAUGCAGGGCCUCGCUGGGUGUGAAGCACUUCUGGUGUUAACAUUUGCGUGCGUACAUUUUAGAGUUCCACUUUGGCAAAUACCUGACACUCGCUUUUCAUGAAGAUUUGUGUCGAAAACAUUUAGUUACGAUUCUUGAUCCUUCAGAGAACAAUUGCCGGAAAGGCAUUAACUGUGAGUGGAGUUUAUGCAAAUAUUGCAUUGGUUGCUCACCCCUUGGAAGGCUUGUGCUUGUUUCUCAUUGUCACUGUUGUCUAAAUAAAUGGUCUUCUUUUAGCCUCUGUUUCA
rnacentral:lncRNA from 1 species